UGGCGGCUCCUGACUGACGGAUGGCUCUAGGACAGACGGGCGGCACUGACGGCGCUGGACAGACGGGCGGCACUGGCGGCGCUGGACAGACGGGCAGCGCAGGUGGCGCUGGGUAGACGGGCAGCUCAGGCGGCGCUGGACAGACGGGCAGCUCAGGCGGCGCUGUACAGACGGGCAGCUCAGGAGGCGCUGGGCAGACGAGCAGCUCAGAUGGCGCUGGGCAGACGGGCAGCUCAGGCUUGCCGAUGCGCACUGUAGGCCUGGUGCCGGAACUGGUGCUACCGGGCUGGGGACACGCACCUCAAGGCUAGUGCGGGGAGGAGGAAUAGGGCAUAGUGGACCCUGGAGACGCACAGUAGGCCUGGUGCGUGGUGCCAGAACUGGUGGUACUGGGCUGGUGCGAGGGGCUGCCACCGGAGGGCUGGUAUGUGGAGGUGGCACCGGAUAGACCGGACCGUGAAGGCGUACUGGAGCUCUUGAGCACCGAGCCUGCCCAACCCUACUUGGCUGAAUGCUCCCCGUAGCCAGGCCAGUGCGGCGAGGUAGAAUAGCCCGCACUGGGCUGUGCUGGCGAACCGGGGACACCAUGCGUAGGGCUGGUGCCAUGUACACCGGCCCGAGGAGACGCACUGGAGACCAGAUGCGUUGAGCCGGCUUCAUGGCACCUGGCUCGAUGCCAACUCUAACCCGGCCGAUACGAGGAGCUGGGAUGUACCGCACCGGGCUAUGCACACGUACAGGAGACACCGUGCGUUCUUCCGCAUAACACGGUGUCUGCCCGUACUCUCGCUCUCCACGGUAAGCACGGGAAGUUGGCGCAGGUCUCCUACCUGACUUCGCCACACUCCCCUUUAGCCCCCUCCCACAAUAAUUUUUUUGGGCUUCCAACCGCGCCGCCGUGCUCGUUUCGCCAACUCCAUUCUCCUGUAUCCCUCCUCGCACUGCUCCAGCGAAUCCCAGGCGGGCUCCGGCACUCUCCCUGGGUCGACCGCCCAUCUGUCUAUCUCUUCCCAAGUAUUAUAGUCCAGAUCACGCUCCCAUGUCCAGAAAUUCACAACACGCUGUUCUUCUCUUUCACGCUGCUUGGUCCGAUUUUGGUGGGUUAUUCUGUCACGAUCGUCAUAACGUGGAAGAGAUUAGGACCAAGGCGCAGCAUGACGUGAAUGCAUUCUUCUCUAUUUAUUAUAACGAAAACGAAGAACACUUUACAAACUAUACAAAACAAUAAACGGCGACCGUGAAGCUAUAAAAUGACAAGUGCAGACACAGGCAACUUACAUAUAGACAUAGACAAUAACCCACAACCCACAAUACAAAACAGACUACCUAAAUAUGGUUCCCAUUCAGAGACAACACAAAACACCUGCCUCUGAUUGAGAACCAUAUCAGGCCAAACUAGAAAACCCCAGAUAGAAACAGACAACAUAGAACUGCCCACCCCAACUCAUGCCCUGACCAUACUAACUAAAGAAAAAACAAAGGAAAAUAAAGGUCAGAACGUGACAGGUCCGUACAAUUAACCUUAUUUUAGCUCCCCAAAAACAUAAUAAUUCCAGAUCAACUGUAAUGUCAAUACCAUUGUAAAGCACAAUUUCUCCCCUUUCCAACAAAAUUAAUGGCAUGACCUCCACACUGCCCGUUUCUGCAUAAUUCAAGAAGGCAAUGAGCUCCGUCGGGUCUUUUUUUAAAUGUCGGGUGGGGAAUUGAAACUAAUGCGUGAUAGUGAGAAGGAGAGGAGAUGUGUGGGAAAAUGGCUUUUUUUCACUCGAUCUGUCCAACGUAUCACCGUAUCGCCUCUAAAAUAUAUAUAAAAAACACUAUAAAGAGUUUAUAUAAUGUGUCAUUACAUACCUAUUUGAAGGUUUGUUUCGAAUUUGAAUCAGGUUUUUAGGGCGGUGCUAAAGUGAUCUUUAGAAGUAAACAGCGGCUUUGAGAGUCAUUAUUGCUUACAGUGAUGAUGCAAAAAAUGGCUAGGUAUCCCCCCUUACCCCUGUCACUGUCCAUUUCUUGUUUUUAAAUUAUGAGAGAAGUGCUACACCUGGUGAAGAGAGAUUGUAAGACAGAAAUAGUUGCUUUAUGCGUACUGUGCGUUACAUGACACAUCAAGAUGUAACGGAUGGUCAGUUUUUUUCAACUUUUCUCCAAUACUAUAGAGCCAUUACCAUGCCGAUCAACGCUUGAAUAGAAACGUAGUUCACACCCCAGAUUUUGAAGUCAACACAGUCCCAUUAGUUUUCUUUGUAGCCUCGUUUGAAUGUCGCGGUUGCGCACAUGUGUACAGAAUGGGGUGAGUUUACGUUAGCUGGUUGCUUUAUGGGUGUUAUGACAUGAGUAUGAAAUUGUAUAAUAUUUUAGGGACUCCUGAAACAACCAGCAAACCAGGCUGUCAUCUUGUGAACAGUGGAUGUAAAUAGUCUAGCUAGCUAAAGCAUUUAUUGCAAAUUGAAUGUACAAUUUUGUAAGCUUGCCUUGUUGAUAUUUGCCAUGCAAUGCAGAUAUGGAAAAACGUAGCUAGCUAACUAUUUUCUUGCUUAUUGUGCAGUGGAUGAUAAAAAUAUCUGUAUGCCUAUGGAUGUGUAGCUAGCUAUGUAGCCGAUCUGUGUAUGGACCCUAAAACGCUUGGUAUACAUAUUAGUUCAGUACCUAGCUCAUAGGCGGAAAUCCCAGGGGGGACGGGGGGACGAUGACCCCCCCAUCCUGGGAAAAAUAUGAUUGUCCCCCCCAAUCUAUCACUGUAAACAUAACUAUGUAAUUUCAAUAAUAUUAAUAAUACGCAAUGAAAGCACUUGUGCUGAUUAUAGACACUUAAUAGUGCGUUUUUAAAUUUCAAAAGAUUGCGACCACCCCGCCCUUUGCCUCACAAUGGUUUGAUCCACUGCCAGUUCUUUAGCUGGCAAGGUAAUAGAGGGUUCGUAUCUACUGUCCGAAAGGCACUCAAUGUACGUAACUGACGUGAGGUUAAUCCAGUCAAUCGCGCCAUAGCAAUGUUUUUUUUUAUGUUGGCAGGGUUCACACACUAGCUGAAUUUGCAGAGCUAGCGCUCAAACUAAAGCAAACAUUAACUAGCAAGCUAGCUAGUACCUAUUCCAUUAAUGUGGCGUCGUCAAAGAUGGAAUCUUUGCUAUUGUCAGUUUAUUCCAAGAUCAGCAUGCAGCUGUAGUUCUUCAAAGUCCCUGUGAUAAGGUUAGCGAUAAACUGAAGUCCAAACUGAACAGAACUACACUCUCUUAUACCAUUGUCUUAAAUAUAUUUAAUGGUCUCGUUGCAAAAGCUAAAUUGUCGCUAGUGAACUUUUUUAAAUUUAUUUUAUUUAACCUUUAUUUAACCAGGUAGCAAAGAUUAUAGCAAACACCACAGAAACGAAAUUGGUGCUCGCUAGCUUUACAAAUUCAGCUAUUGUUGGAAGCCAGCCAAUAUGAAACAAACUAUAUUAAAAUGAGAAAAGGUUGCAGCAUAUGUUGUGUAAAUGUGUGUGUGUGCAGAUAGACCGGCCAGCCAGCCAGUCAGGUAAAAAAGACGGACAUCGGAGUAUUUUUCAGUACACCAAAACGCAAAGCAGAGCAGGCAACAGAUGGCACACAGACAGCAGAGCUGGGGACAGAUAUGCAGGGACAGACUGGCAGAGACAGGGAGUCUCACGUAAGUUUUUUGAGUCUUUGUUUGGCAACAUUAUGAAAGGUUCUCAAUUUUUUUGACUUGUAAAAUAGGGACAUAAUUGGAAAAUGCCAUGGAUACCUGUUAUGGGAUUUUUGUGUUUAAUGACUAAAAUAUGUAUACAUUUGACUUAGAUGUUACUGUAUGAAUGAAACUUAUUAUAACCAUAAUGCUGAAUAUUAUGUGUUCCUAAUUAGAAAGAAUGGAGUUAUCUUCAGACAGGCUGGAAUGCUGUGUUCCUUACAGGACAGUUUGUCUCUACCCAGGGAGGGAAAAGACCUUGGGUUGGUUGCAGAUAGUUUAAGUUGUCCUUGAUUUAAUGUUCUAAAAUGUUUAGAAUUUAUCAAUAAUAGGAGCUUUACUAUUCCAAACAGAUCCAAUGGGUUUUGUAUGACCAAUAUACAUGUAUCGAUAAUGGGGCAGGUCUGAAAUGACCUGAGGUAAGGUGCACUACCAUUAAAUAAAAAUACCUUAAUAGAUCCGGGUGCCUUAGGGGCCAGAGGGGUUAUUAAGAUGGAAUACUGAACAGGUGUUGACAGGUGCAGUCGUGUUGUGCAAAUAGGACAGCCAUUAAUUCAAAAGACAUACCUAAAUAAAGUUCUAACCUAAGUAGUCUGACUAUGAAACGGAACGGUAAAUAUAUUAAAAUAGGUGAGGAUAUAAACUAGGCUUUGUGAGAAGGAAGGGUGGUUCUGUUUGGGCAAGAUGACUGCACUUAUUCAAUACUGAAAGAAGUAUCAAAAAAGGAGGAGAGGGAAACCAAAAUCUAUAAAUCUGAGAUAAAAGCCAAAUCUAUAGACAAAAGGUUCCAGGAGAGAGGGAAACCUAAUAUGGCGGAGUAAGAUACGAGAUAUUAACUUUAAAAGUCCUAUGACACAAAAUAAUAGGUUAUUAACUGGGACUUUACGCCCCCGGGGAAAUAGCUUAUAUUUGUAUGGGUAAGAUUUAAUGUCCAAUAAAUGCAACGCUAUAGAUAAAGUUUCCAAAUGGGAAAACAACCAAAAUAAUUAGGUAAAUACUAACGGUAAAAACAGCACAUACAUAGAUCAUAGAAAAUUAUAAUAAUAGGACCAUAGCUACUAGGAGCGGCAAGGAUUUAUUAAACAUGGGCAGUAAAUCCUCCAAUGAGGUCCCGGAAUGGGCCGGAGUUUGCGAAUACAGAAAAUUGUAAUAAUAGGGUUAUUGGCUUCUUUAUUCCAAAAGUGAUGGUGGUUCAGGGGUUAAAUAACUGCCUUCCAAGCUUGAGACCUGACUUCGAUUUUACGGUAAAUGCUCUGACUAAAAUUUGAGUCUUUAAUUGUAAUUAAACCAUUUGUAUGUUUUGCCUGAGAAAAUACGGUCGUUAGUGUCGGUAUAGGAUAUAAACUGAAACGUUUUAAUAACUUGUUUAGGUUCAAAUGAAAGACUAAUCUAAUUCUAAAUGAUAGCGAUGCGCUUUCGAUGUGAUACGUUGUGUUGCCUCAAUGAUCUGCAUGAAUGAUAUAUUGAGACGGGAAUCGUAUUUAUAUUACUGAAUCGUAGAAGUGACAGUUACCUAAACCUGAUGAAUUCUAAAGAAUAAAGGAGAAAUAUGAUAAAGUUGUGCCCAUCGGAAUGUUAUAAUUCUUAUGGAUUGACUGACAUGCGAUAUAAAUUUAGCGAAGUAUAUGGUACGUUUACAUUUUGGAGUAGAGAAAGUUGAGAAGUUGAUUUUACUUUUACGAUAGUUUUGGUGCAAAACUCAGUUGGAGUAAGUAGAUGUUUUUGCCUAGAGGCAGGUUGACUGGUUGCAUAAUAACGUAAAACAACAUCAUCACGUGGAUACACAAUAACGUUACUCAAAUGGAUUUGACCAUUUUUCAGGUACUCUCUUUUCUGUACUUCUGGCAGUAUAAUUUUGAUUGAGAGAUGUUGAUUGACGUUGUAAAUUCUAUUCAAGAUCCAACAUUUGUAAAUUGGUUUUGGUUUAUCGAACCCGUACUAUUGCAGUUAGUCAACAAUGAUUUACAAUUCGUUGAAAGUUGCUGCGGCCUAAACACGGGCUGAGCGCUCGUUGUUGACAUCACUCACAAUGCACUUUUGCAACCAGGUAAUGAUGUUGUGACUGAGGGUGGGACAGAGAAAAUUGUUUGUGUCAUUUAGAGGGAAAAUGCGUGCAUUAUAGCUUUGAGCCACGUUUCAGAAGUUGUUAAAACUUCCAAAUAGAAUUUUAUAAGUAGCUGAAUAUCGUCAGAGUAGUCUAAAAAUACUCUAAAAAUUGCUAGGUGGCCACCACGGAUAGUUGGCUAUAAGAGAGGAAAGUCAAAAUAGUUGAAUCGUAAAAAUUUAUGAUAGCUCUUUAUUGAUUUUUAGUUCGAAUAUUUAGGUAACACCAGUGAAAAUUAACAGAAAGUUAAGGUAUACUAACAUGCCGGUGGAGCUGAUUAAAUGUUAAAGGGUACCCGUUAAUCACAGUUGUGUGUCUGUGUCUAAAGGCAGGGUACUCCUAUCAACCAUUAAGGAAAUUUAAAACUAAUGAUUUGAGGGUGUACAAUAUACUUAUUAUAAUUGCUAGGUUUUGUUUGUAGUAAACGUUGGGUUUCAGGGUAUUUCCAUGUUUACAGAGAAAAGAUAUCUUAAAGGUGUACACUCACGGAAUAUUAGGAGUUUUAUUUUCCGAGUUUUAAUUAAACACGUGAAUUCUUUAGAUAAAGAGAUCUUUAAUAUGUCUCAUAUAGUAUGUAACACGACUGUAAAAGGGUGGUAUAACCUUUGACCUCUAUCACGGCUUUCUCCUUGUGUUCUGAUUAGCUUCGAGGGAGGGCCAUUUGGAUAAUGAAUUUGUGGUCAUUUGUGAUACUGAUAUUAAGGUAAAUUUAAUAACUGAUAAUUAUUUGCGAGUUUAUAGUUCCUUGCCAUAGUUAUAAAUUGAACCAAUGAGAAGAAAGAAAGGGCAUAGCCUUGGUCUAAGGGCAGACUUUCUUGAGUCUCUCCCAAUGGCCAUAAGGGUACCAUAAGUUCUCUUUGUGGAGGGUUCUAGAGUAGUAACUGUGGUCUGGUCAUGUUAUUUGAAACUGUUGUUUUUAUCUUUUGACCGGUAGUAGUAUUUUUUAUAUAUAUGGCACUCCGGGAGAAUAUUGGCUUAGAAGAAUCCCCGGCAGUGGAGGGACUCAAGGCCCUGUAUAAUCAGUGGAAUGCGUCCCGAGAUAAGCCGUACCAUUACACAGAACUUAGUAGGGUGGGGGCGAGCAGAGCAGAGCAGAGAAAUAGGAGUGACACAGACUGGGUUACGGUUACUGAGGGGAGACAGAGGGAAUGAAAAACUUAGUUGAUUUCAGGAACUAAGGGGCAGCACUGAUAACUUUUAAAGUAGAUAAGACACUGAACAGAGAAUUGUUAGGUUGAUCCAGUAUUGAUACAAGGGCGGAGCCAAGUAUCAAAGGGGGGAUGGAAGAGGACACUUUGUGGCCUAUCAGAUAAUAAUAAUAAACAAAAAAAAUGUUUUAUAUAUAUAUAUAUAUAUAUAUAGCGUUCCCAACUUACUUGGCGGACACGAGUAUGGUAACUGAAAAAUUAGGUCAAGAUAUUCUUCCUAGUUGGGUUCCUAGGAUAAUAAUGGAUGACAUUCUAGCUAAUCAAAUAGAACAGAAUGACAGAGGUUCUAGCAGAACACAUUAAAAAACUGUUAAUUAACCAAACCCGUAUGUCCAAGAUUUUAUACUCUACAGGAGAACUACAGGAGGGGAUUACCGACAUGAUUGGGCCAGGGGACUGGGUCUGGGUCCAAUCACCUAAGAAAAAGGACUGGAAGCAGCUACGGUGGGAGGGGCAAUACCAAGCACUCCUAGGGACUGCAUUCGCAGUGAGAAUAGCUGAAAGAGCUACCUGGGUGCAUGUCAGACUUGUAGGAGGGUAGGACACACUGACACUGUCGAACAAUCACAGGGGUAGGAGCAGAACCGAUCAACAGGAUACGGGGGUUAAACUCCUACUGAAGAUUCCCUUAUACCCGACCUUUCCCCGCUGUGAGCGUUCAUAGAAGUGAAAGUAUGGCUUGGCCUCUGGCUGUUGAUAUGUUCUCUGGGAGAGGGUGGGGCUUUACAGGGGCGCUGAUUGGUCUGAGCUGUCUUAUUGUGGGAGCCAUAUUCCUAAUACACCACACCCCACCUGAGUAUGCAGAAGGUGGUAACUUGACCCAUGGUUUCGAUGAUGAGAAUUUUGUAUUAACCAAGCAUAAGAGAUCCCUUGAUCUGGAUAGACAGGAAGUUAGAGUGGAGGUUAGGAAGGAUGUCUCAAUGGAGUUUUAUGUAACAAAUUGGGGUCUCUGACUCCUGGGCAGUCUAGAACUAAGAGCCAUUAUAGAAUAUAUCUGUGUAGGUCCCCGUGUGGUUCAUGGACACAGGUCAUAGCUCACACACAGAGAGAGAGGGCUAUGUAAACCCAUACAUCCAAUUUAGGAACAGAUGGAGUAUAGUAAGGGUUGGAGUUUCUGACUGUGUUCCCGAGCAGACAAAGUAUUUUAUAAAGGUACGAAUUAACAUUAAAACGGUAAAGUCCCAGGAUUUCGGGUUAUGGUAUGUUGGCUUCGACCAGUUUUCAACUGAUACUAUGGUACUAUUCCAGGUGGCAGAGGUUAGAGCUGGUAAGGAGACUAUAGUCGGCCAGAGUUCAAUUCAUCUCCCUAACACCACGGACAUUCCUAGUAUAAACAUCCAUAAAGGACCUGUACGAAUAGUUCAGACAGUUACCUUAAAGAAGUGAUAGAGGUGGAGACUGGGUUUGGGGAUUCCAACUUUGGUUAAAAGGUAUUCAAUAUACAGCCAGAUCAGUAGCGAAAGAAGAAUGUUAAUGUCUGUGCUACUGCCAAACCACAGCUGUGUCACGAUCGUGUGGAGGAUUGACGGACCAAAACGCAGCAGUAGGAAAAUAAGCCAUAUUCCUUUUAAUGAAUAUGAAGGCAAAACGAAACAAAAACACUUAUACACUAAACAAAACAAGAAAACGAUCGUGAAGCUAAGAACGAAGUGCACACACAAGCUACAAACGUAUAACAUAGACAAUUACCCACAUCAAAUGAAAGCCUAUGGCUACCCUAAAUAUGGCUCCCAAUCAGAGACAACAGAAAUCAGCUGUCUCUAAUUGGGAACCCAUCCAGGUAACCAUAGACUCUCCUAGACAACUAAACCAACAUAGACAACGCUAGACACAUGCACUCAACACAAACCCAUACACUACACCCAACACCCCCUUUACCAUAUAACCACCCAAAACCUAUAAAACACAAACAUUCCCCAUGUCACACCCUGACCUAACUAAAAUAAUAAAGAAAACAAAUAAUACUAAGGCCAGGGCGUGACAAGCUGACCACCAUCUCCUUUCCAUUUGAUGGAAUUGAUAUACUCAGGGGAAUGGCCUGUAUGAUAAAGCUGUUCAUGAAGGCAGGGAAGCCAUACAAUGACAGUUGCUUUGAUCUGAAUAACCUUUAUCCCCAUGUGCCCAUUACCUCCAUUCCUCCUUUCACAGUUACAGAAGGACACUAUUAUUGUAGGGCCUGGCACAUUACAAACGGAUGGGAUGAAGAGGAAGUAAGAACUGACUGGAUGGUUGACUUCUGGGGAUUUCAGUAAGAUAAAAAGGCCCAGAGCGGAUGUGUGGUUGUUAUGUGAAGGGAUGAGGUUGUGGCCUGUCCUGCCUACCAAUUGGACCGAACUCUAUUGAUCUUUUGACAAUAGUAUUUACAUAGGAUAGUAUUGGAUAUGUUAUUGGCUGAAAAGGGUGGCGUGUGCGUCUUAUUCGGAGCAGAAUGUUGCACAUUUAUUCCUGAUAACACGGCUCCAGACGGAUCAGUGACCUAGGCCCUGACGGGUUUAACCACCUUAACUCACGAAUUAGCAGAAACUUAUGGGGUAGAUACUCCCCUGACUAAUUGGUUUGACAGUAUGUUUGGAAAAUGGAAAAUUGUCAUAAUCACUGUGUUGUGGGCCAAUUUCACCUGUAUGAGUGUUUUGAUUCUGUAUGAAUGCUGUUUGAUUCUGGGUGUGAAAGGUCUCAUUUCCAGGACUCUGGAGAAAUCAAGGACAAUAUUGAUGAUAAGGAUACGGACCGAUUCCAAGUUCUGACCAGUGGGAGGAUGAAUACUGGUUCCCCGACCGAGGAUGGAUCCGGCUACUUUGAGACAUUAUAAAUAUUAGGUCCCGUCUUGUGUUGAUGAUUUUUAUGUUAGACUGUUUCUUUGAUGAAGAUUAUAGUUAUGAUUCUGAUAUAGGCCUGGAAUAACCAUUGUAAAUACAUAUAUUGAUGUAAUUGUAAGAUGUUGUGGUUGAUUUAGGUUGUAUUUUUUAAAACAAGAAAUAUUUCUAAUAAAAAUAGAAUUGUGCUUUUUAAUAUUACUAAUAAAACUAGAAGUACGAUUAAAGGUAUAAUAUUUAGUCAUAGGGUGGAUAUGUUAUGGGAUUUUUGUGUUUAAUGACUAAAAUAUGUAUACAUUUGACUUAGAUGUUACUGUAUGAAUGAAACUUAUUAUAAUCAUAAUGCUGAAUAUUAUGUGUUCCUUAUUAGAAAGAAUGGAGUUAUCUUCAGACAGGCUGGAAUGCUGUGUUCCUUACAGGACAUUUUGUCUCUACCCAGGGAGGGAAAAGACCUUGGGUUGGUUGCAGAUAGUUUAACAGGUGGCAGACAGUAAUGAGAACUCUAACUAUACUGCCAUUGUAUUCUAGAGGAGGAUGGACAUUAAAACCUAUGACAUCAUCUUUAUUAUAUAACCUGAUGUAAAUUGUACUAUGAUUCAGUACUCUCGAGAAUAAACGCUAUUGAUUGAUUGAUUUUAA